rnacentral:rRNA from 1 species
GACGAACGCUGGCGGCGUGCCUAAUACAUGCAAGUUGAGCGCUGAAAGUUGGUGCUUGUUCCGACUGGAUUAGCGGCGAACGGGUGAGUAACACGUGGGGAAUCUGCCUUUGAGCGGGGGACAACAUCUGGAAACGAAUGCUAAUACCGCAUAAAAACUUUAAACACAAGUUUUAAGAUUGAAAGAUGCAAUUGCAUCACUCAAUAAUGAUCCCGCGUUGUAUUAACUUGUUGGUUAGGUAAAGGCUCAACAAAGCGAUGAUACAUAGCCGACCUGGGAAGGUGAUCGGCCAACUUGGGACUGAGACACGGCCCAAGCCUCUACGGGAGGGAGCAGGAGGGGAUCUUCGGCAAUUGACGGAAGUCUGAACGGGCAAAGGCGCGGGAGUGGAGAAGGGUCUCGGGUCGUAAAAACCCGUUUGUAGGGAAGAAAGUAAGGUGGAGUGGACAGCGCACGUAGUGACGGUAACUACCCAGAAAGGCACGGCUAACUACGUG